rnacentral:tRNA from 1 species
GAAAUAGCUCAGCUUGGUAGAGCGUCUGGUUUGGGACCAGAAUGUCGCAGGUUCGAAUCCUGUUUUCC